UACGUAGGGUGCGAGCGUUAAUCGGAAUUACUGGGCGUAAAGCGUGCGCAGGCGGUCUGUUAAGACCGAUGUGAAAUCCCCGGGCUUAACCUGGGAACUGCAUUGGUGACUGGCAGGCUUUGAGUGUGGCAGAGGGAGGUAGAAUUCCACGUGUAGCAGUGAAAUGCGUAGAGAUGUGGAGGAAUACCGAUGGCGAAGGCAGCCCCCUGGGCUGACACUGACGCUGAGGCACGAAAGCGUGGGGAGCAAACAGG
rnacentral:rRNA from 1 species